GACGAACGCUGGCGGCGUGCCUAAUACAUGCAAGUCGAGCGAACCAAUAGAAAAGCUUGCUUUUCUUGAGGUUAGCGGCGGACGGGUGAGUAACACGUGGGCAACCUGCCUGUAAGACUGGGAUAACUUACGGAAACGUGAGCUAAUACCGGAUAGUUUCACUUCUCGCAUGAGAAGUGAAGGAAAGAUGGCGUCACGCUAUCACUUACAGAUGGGGCCCGCGGCGCAUUAGCUAGUUGGUGGGGUAAUGGCCUACCAAGGCGACGAUGCGUAGCCGACCUGAGAGGGUGAUCGGCCACACUGGGACUGAGACACGGCCCAGACUCCUACGGGAGGCAG
rnacentral:rRNA from 1 species